AAAAGCUCGUAGUUGGACAUCUGCUCUGGACGCAGGGGGCCGCUCGCGUGGUCUCCCGUGCGCUCCCGGCAUUCUGCCCGCCGCCUCGGGGUUGAUUUUAACCGGUCGGCCUCGGGUGGAGGGCGGUGGUCGCUUUGCAAAAAUUAGAGUGCUCAAAGCAAGUGUUUCAAGCUUGAAUAGUAAUGCACGGAACGACGGAAGACGAUCUCGGCUCCGGGUUUGUUUGGGUCGGCGGAGACCGAGGUAAUGAUUAAUAGGAGCAGACGGGGGCAUUCGUAUUCCGACGACAGAGGUGAAAUUCUUGGACCGUCGGAAGACGACCUACUGCGAAAGCAUUUGCCAAGAAUGCUUCCCUUAACCAAGAACGAAAGUCAGAGGCUCAAAGAAGAUUAGAUACCUUUGUAGUUCUGACCCUAAACGAUGCCCGCCAGCGAUCCGGCUGCGUACKKUKUGUGACGCGCCGGGCAGCUUGCCCGGGAAACCUGAGUUCAGGCUCCGGGGGAAGUAUGGUUGCAAAGCUGAAACUUAAAGGAAUUGACGGAGGGGCACUACCAGGAGUGGAGCCUACGGCUUAAUUUGACUCAACACGGGAAAACUUACCCGGCCCGGACUCUUAGCAGAUGAACAGAUYGAUAGCUCUUUUUAGAGGUUGUGGAUGGUGGUGCAUGGCCGCAGUUGGUUCGUGGGGUGACCUGUCUGGUUAAUUCCGAUAAACGAACGAGAUUCUCGCUUGUUAACUAGGAGCGCGCAUCUCUCGCAGAUGCGACGUUCUUCUUAAAAGGACCGUCGGCUUCGAAGCCGUACGAGAGGGAGCGAUUGCAGGUCUGUGAUGCCCUUAGAUGUCCGGGGCCGCACGUGCGCUACAGUAGAGCGGACAACGUGCCRCGGWGCCUCGGCCUACUGGCCCGGGUAACCCGAGCAGUCCGUCUCAGUGCUGGGGACAGGGGAUUGUAAUUGUUCCCCUCCAACGAGGAAUUCCCAGUAGGCGCGAGUCAUUAACUCGUGCCGACUAAGUCACUGCCCUUUGUACACACCGCCCGUCGCUAUCUCCGAUUGAGCGGUGGAGUGAGGUCUUCGGACCUGCGCGUCGGUCGUCCCWCGCGGCCGAGUCGACGUGCGGGGAAGAUGCCCGAACUUGGCUGCUUAGAGGAGGUAAAAGUCGUAACAAGGUUUC
rnacentral:rRNA from 1 species